UACAGAGGUCCCGAGCGUUGUUCGGAUUCAUUGGGCGUAAGGGUGCGUAGGUGGCGCCGUAAGUGGGGUGUGAAAUCCCGGGGCUUAACCCCGGGACUGCAUUCCAUACUGCGGUGCUUGAGGACUGGAGAGGAGACUGGAAUUUACGGUGUAGCAGUGAAAUGCGUAGAGAUCGUAAGGAAGACCAGUGGCGAAGGCGGGUCUCGUGGACAGUUCCUGACACUGAGGCACGAAGGCCAGGGGAGCAAACGGG
rnacentral:rRNA from 1 species